CUUCUCCAAAGACCAUGUCCAUUUACCCAAAAUGUGCUGUGAAGAACAACUGAAAAAGGGUAAAAGAAACAUCACAGUAAAUAGAUCAAUCUGUUGGUAAUGAUGCAGUUUGUUAGUUCACACCAUCAACAAUGGAACUAUCCUCUCAGACACACACUAGCCAUCACCAUCCAUGCAUAUAUUGUGUUUGUAUAGCUUGUCCUGCAAUAAAACUAACUGAUAUAGUUCACACCAUGAGCAAUGGAGAAGCUAUACACACAAUAUAUAUACACUUGACCAUUCUCUAAUACAUGAGAGUUCUCAGACAUGUACCUCUACAAAUCUUCCCAGCAAUAAUACCUCAGGCCCCCCUGUUAAACUGCAAGUUCUUCUCCAAAGAUGAAGAAUCUCUUAGGAUUUCAACUGAUGGUCACCUUGCUUUGUGGGUUCAUUUCAUCAGCAGUGUUUGCUUAUCUGGAGUGUAACAGCUCACCGCCAAUGGAUGUUCAGCUACCCAGUUGUAACUGCUGCCUGUGGCUCAGUCUUGGUUUAGUCCCAUGGUUUCUGGUUCAGAAUCUCUGAUUCUUAGCUUGUUGGAUAUGUUACUCUAUACUUAAUAGAAAUGUUGUCUAUUACUGGGUGCUGCUUUGGUUAAGGGAACUCAAGUUAUUAUUAAUUGUAAUAAUGCCAAUUUGAGUUAUACUUCUUAGAUUGGUUAUUUGGAGAUACUGGUAUUUUUUCUCAUUAAGGAGUAUGUAGUCUUUGUACACAAUCUAUUUUAAGUUAUUUACAAAAGCUUGGCAUUGAAUACAA